CUGGGAUUACAGGUGUGAGCCAUCUUGCUCAUUCUAGUUUAAACUUUUGAGUGGUUUGUGUCUCCUGAUUGGACUCCUACAAAUACAGAAUUGAUGCUAGGAAGGGUACCAGGAGAUAGACGCACACAGAUGGGAUUUGGGAAUAGGUUUGGUUAUCCAAGGAGCAGUGCUGAGCUCCUUGCAAUGGGAUAUGGGAUGCUGGUGAUUUCUAGGAAGUGAGCUCACAAUGACUCAAGCUGCCACAUACUGUUGAUUGUGAAAUGCCAGUUGAAGCAUAUGUCCUGCAAGCUUAGGGGUGCUACAAGUUGACCACUGCAGCAGUAAAGAUGACUCUGAAGAAUGGCGUGGGAUGGUUCCUUUCAAAUGCACUUGAGCAGCGGUCUCCAACCACAGGGCCACAGAGCUGGAGCUGGAUCUACCAUGAAAGACUUGUGAAUCCAGGAAGAGAGACUGACUGGGCAACAUGUUAUUCAGGUGGGAACAUCCAGUUGCGGGAAAACAAGCUUAACACGCCCACUGAUUCUACAUUAUGGGUCUCCCUCUGUUGUCCAAGGCUGGAGUGUAGUAGUGCUAUCGCAGCUGACUGCAGCCUCAACCUUCCAGGCUGAAGCGAUCCUCCCAC
rnacentral:lncRNA from 1 species